CUUCAGAACGGAAAUCCUUAGAAUUCGUAGAAGGGGCACUGAGGUCUAAGAAUUUAUGAGACAAUACGUAAGCAACAUAAUGACCAUAAUUCAGGGUGCCACUGUGCACAAUGACCCCGAAAAGUCGAUAUCUAAAACUACUUGAAGCACGUAGGUGUGGCAUAACGAACUCGUUUAAAUCUAAUUCUUGUUCAAACUCAAUGAAAUCGGAAAUUUUUUUGGGAUUGGCGUAACCAUCGUGGGAAAUCUCCUGGAAAAAACGCUUCAAAUGGAUAAUAAAAACAGGAGGUAAAGGGUCAUCUAAUAACAUCCGCUUGUAAGCAUUUCUAUAAACACUGUUAUUAAACGAAUAUUUAUCGUUAUCCGACGUCAAUCCUCCCUUAGCUGGAGAGCCAACUUCGUUAGGUUGAUUACAGCAAUUCUCGCAGGCAAACAUGUUUUCACCACUUAACUCCUCAACAUGAGUAAAGUUUUUGAGACAAUCAAUAAGUGUCUUAGGCUCCUCUAUUAUUGGGCUUGAUAGUGAAGAUUCUGAGAAAAUUGAAUUACUAUUAUCAAAAUCUUGUUUCGAAAUUUGCCCGCUAGAAUUGACAGAGAGAUCACUUAAUCUUCGAGUCAGUUUUUGAAAUGGAGACUGUUUCAAACUCUUGUCAUUUUCACUAGCAUGCCCACCAAGUAAAUUUUCAUUUAACGAAGAGGAAUUAGUAGUCGGGGCUUGAUCAGUGUCGUCGUUAGCAUUGUCAACAACUAUCUUUACAGACGAUUUUUUUGGUGAACGACUAAAUCGUGAACGGAGAGCACGAUGGAAUCGAUGACGACGACUUACGCGGCUAGACGGGUAAUGAAUAGGUAUGGAUAAAUCUUGAAUAGGUUCAGGAGUGUUAGUAAUUUCAUUACAACUUUGGCACAUCACAACGCUCGUUAAACGGCCUGUAAAAAUUGACUUGAUCACCAGGCUUGAAGAAAAUUCAUCCAUAGUAGCUUUAUCAAGCAUCAUAUCAUCUGAAGAAAGUUCACCAAGCCGUAGUAUGUCUAGUGAACGCCUUUGAAAUUGAGGAGAUUUUAAAACUUCUUUUUUAGGACUAGCCUCCUCAUGAUUAGAACUAUUAGAUACAUUGAAAUGAGAAUUAGGAUCUUCAAAAGAAUUGGUACCAGCGACCUCAUGUUGACCCUUAAAAACUUGUUGUCCCUUGUCUGAACUGGAAUCGAGAAGUUCUGACGAUGGAAGGGAUUUUGUAGACGAGGCCGCUAAUGGCGAUGAAUUAGCAGGCAAGAAACUGUCAUGCUGAUGCUGUGAAGAGUCAGAUGAUUGCGACAACUCCUUCGAAUAAGUAAUAUCUUCGGUCUCAGAACCCACUAAUGAAGAAACGCUAACAUAAUCUUCGUUGUUCUGCUCGUUAUCACUUGUAUUGUGUGAAUUUGGCGACAAAGAAGCAUCUGUAACAUUCACUUGUUUAAACGAAGUUAACGAUUUAGAAAGCUGUUCAUCAUCUGUCAAACAUGGACUAAGUUGAAGAGAACGUGAUACACUAUUAAGGUUAAAUCUCAGUACACGAAAUUCUUCAGAAAUGAGAUCGUCCAAUAACAGCCUUAAAAGCUCGUGAGCAUCCUGCUGGACGCUUUCGGAAAACUGGGGAUGUAGUCUUCGAAAUUCUCCGAAAAAAGUGGUAGGACGAUAUACGGAGAUAGUGCCAUCUGAUUUAUAAAAGGUCUCCAAAAAUUUAAUGAAUGCAGAUAAAAGAGAAGAUUCAGGAGAUUUCGUUAACUUUCGCACUAUAACUGAGGAGUGGGAAUAUUGGAACGGGCUAAUCACAUCGUGUAAAGCCUCACAAGCACAUAGGACUUGUAAAGUCGAAUUAAAAAAGCAUGUGGCACCCAAAUUUUUUAAACCAGGACUGAUAACUUUAUAUUUCUUCGAGCUUUUGCCAGAAGAAUGCUUACUCUUUUUUUCCUUUUUAAAGUGUGACGAAUUGGAUUUUAAAACGUUGGGGGCCUUAGUUAACGAUGAAACCAAGUUAGAGCAAAUAAAUUGUUGAACGUCCCGCACAACUAAAUUCUUUUUAUCAAAAAUAACUAUAUCUGCAUCACAACUGUAACAGUGACAUUUCAAGGUUAUAAUGUUGACAAAAACGCAAUGCUUCUUAUUCUUUUCAAAAUGUUUUCGGCU